CUUUUAGGCUCCUCGGCAAGAACAAAACCCUCGUAAAAAGGCAAGUUCUUUUCUAAUCAAUUCUGCACAAUUGCUGACAGCAAUUAAUCUUUAAUUCAAGGAUGGGUCCCCGGCAAACCUCGCAGGAUUAAGCGACCCGAUGUGACAGAAACUCUGUGUGUGGACAGCUUGGCUAGCUCUGCUGGCCCGCCUCUCCUUCCUUCCUACCCCACCAACACCUUCUCUGGGCAGUGACUUCACAUCCUUUGACAUCAGCACAGCUCCAGGAGGGGGAUGGGAGAGCAGGCAGAAAGCAGAAAAACCAGCUCUGAACUAUGCAUGCAAGGCCUCUUUCAAGCCUCAAAUUCUAAAGGUUGCUGCAGAAAGCCAGUCCAAGGAGAAGGACAUCAGAUCUGGAGUACGGGAAAAUGUGGACAGAGGACUCCCCCCAAAAGGGAACACCAGCCCCAGCUCCAGAGAGAGAGAAGAAAGCCUCUCGGCAGAACUGAAAGUGGUUCCCCGUCUGACGUUUUCCUGAAUGGUGGCUCCUCUUCUGUUGUUUCUCACCUCUGCCCCACCUGUCCGGUGUGUAUGCUAACACCACAAAGGCCACGGCUGCCCCAAGCCCCACUGGUGAAAAUACCGACUGGCUGCGUGGACACUGCCCCUGCAGGCCCGGCCCUCACACAGCUUGGGAGUGGGUGAGCCCCACUCAGCCGUGUCAAUGGCCAUUACCAUGGAUGGUCCCGCCCAGGAGCGCAGGACUCCAGGCCAGCAGCCCACAGUGUCUCCAAAGCCUGCAGGAGUGCACCUGACCACGUCCUCCCAACCCAGGUGCGCUGUGGGUCUCCCUCCUGUCCAGGUGGUGCUGCUGCCACCUAAGUAAGAGAUGAGCCUGUGCAUUACCCCGGUGAUACCAAUUUAGACUGUGCCUGCCUGACCCUUGGCUACUGUCUGUCAGCAAAGGCCAGACUCCGGGCCCCAGCCAGGGCCACCAAGCCAUGCUGAGGAUAAUGCUGGCUCUCACUUCCACUCACCAUCACCUGCCCAUGCGGGAGUGAUGCAGGUGAACAGACUCCGUCAGGGCCACAUUGCUUGGGCUGGCAUGGUCUGUGCUGUACAGAGGACCUGCCUGCAAUCACUGAAUAUUUCAUGGGCAGCCAGAUGGGAGAGGUGCCUGCACUCGGGCUGUGCUGAUGAGCUGAAAUACAGCAGUGAGGAGAGACUCCUAGGGCUUUAUGUAAAAUACAGAUUGAAGGCAAAGGAACAGUGAAGUCACUUUUGAUGUAUUUUUCCUAAUGAUCUCAGAUCAAAGGAUCUCAACUUUAUUAGUGAUUUCCCCCAUGCUCUCCCCAAACCCUAUGCAUGUAAAGUAGUUCUUCAGAGAACUAUUAAGACUGAUCGGAGAUCACUGAUAAAACAUAUGCUAAAAUUAGAAUAAGAGAAAGGAAAAGACAACUAACCAGAGGGUAUAUUUUUCAACUGGAAACAAAUAUCCUGUAAACUUACUGUUAUUUUUUUCCUGAAAUAAUUUACGUUUAAAGUAUUUCCUAUCAAAAUCCAGGUAGCCUUCUUAUUUUUCUAGGUAUUGACAAAAUCUUCUAAAUUUUGCCUGGGAAAAUAAAGAACAAAAAUGAGAACACUUCCAAUGAGGAAGGAUAAUGCUGCCAAGCACAUAACUCCAUGAACAGAUGACAGUGCCAGGGCGGAAGAGGCAGAGCGAGGGCUGGGAAGCAACAGCCUGACCAGGACGCACUUCCACGCGGAUAUGGGGGGCUGUAAGUGGGGUCCUAAUCAGAGCGAACGCGGAAAGAGUGGACAGUGGGCCGGCUCUCCUGGAACAGGCAACUCUUACUAAUGGGUGUGUUUGUGUGUGUGUGUGUAAGCCAAGUGAAGUCUUUUGACCUCACACUAAAAUAAAAUUGCCACUGUGUUAAACAGAGAAAUAGAAGCCAAUCAUAACUCCUCCCUAAGUCCCCAUAGCUUUUAGAAGAAAAGGUAAAUGAAUAUUCUUAAGCUAGAGAAGGACACUUAAAAACACCAAACUCCUAAGGGAUGUUCCACCUUAGAAAUUAAAUGCUAUAAAUACAGUAACAUUAGUGUAACUGACUAGAAAAACAUUAAGCUUUCAGUGUCUAAAUGAUUCAUGAAAGAACUAUAAAUGCUCAAUAAGCACAUGGAAAAAUAUUUUUUACUGAUCAGAUCAGCAAUAAUUUUUAAGUGAAAGUCAAUUCAGGUUGAGGAUAUGAUGGAGUUUUGACAACAAAACUGCCAUUGCUUGGAGUCCUCCACAGUCAUCUGGCAGUAGGAGUCAAGAUUCUGUGUCUAAACUGGAUGUGGUAAUGCACACUUGUAAUCUCAGCACUCGGGAGGCUGAGGCAGGAGACCAGCCUGGGCUACACAGUGAGCUCAAGGCCAGCCAGAACUGCAGAGUGAGACCCUGUCUCAAAAGGACAAAAAAAAAAAAAAAAAGAGUGUGGCAAUUUUACUUCUGGAAAUGUAAUAGUCACAAAUGAACAUCACUUCAAAAAAAAUGUUUAUUUUAUGCAGGCACCUGUGGGACAGGAGGAUCUCAAGUUUGAGGCCAGUCUGGGCAAUGCAGAGACACUCUCUUAUAGUACAAAGGCUGGGGAUCAUGCUCAGUGGUAGAAUAUUCUUGUGUUUGAUGGUACUGAUUUAAAAAAUGUCUAAUUUGGGGCUGGGGAUUUAGCUCAGUGGCAUAAGCGCCUGCCUUGCAAGCAGGCAGUCGUGAGUUCGAUCCCUGGUACCGAUAAAAACGAAAAAGACAAAAAAAAAAAAAAAAAAAAGCCAAAAAAAAAGUCUAAUUAAUAAAAUACACAUUUCUGCAAAAUGAAGCCGGGUGUAGUGGUGCAUUUCUAUAAUCCCAGUGCCAUAUUUACCCCACAAACCAAACCCUGAAAUUUAAAUUGUGCUAAAAUAUGACAUAGAAUUUAUCUUUAUAACCAUUUUUAGGUGUCCUGCUCCGUGGCAUUAAGUCCAUUCGUGUCCCCGCUUCCAAAUCUUUUGUCUAUUCCCUGCUUUCAAUUCUUUUGAGUAUGUAACCUUAGUGGAAUUGCUGGGUCAUAUGGUAAUUCCAUUUUUAAUUCUUAAAAAAAACUGUCACACUGUUUUCCACAGUGGUUUUACCAUUUUAUACCUCCCCAAGAGUGCACAGAGUUCCAAGGCACACCCC
rnacentral:lncRNA from 1 species